rnacentral:rRNA from 1 species
UACAGGGGGUGCAAAACGUUGCUCGGAAUCAUUGGGCGUAAAGCGCACGUAGGCGGUUCGUUAUGUCGGAUGUGAAAGCCCUUGGCUUAACCGAGGAAGUGCAUCCGAAACUGGCGAGCUAGAGUACGAAAGAGGAUCGCGGAAUUCCCCGGUGUAGAGGUGAAAUUCGUAGAUAUCGGGAGGAACACCGGUGCGAGGCGGCGAUCUGGGUCGAUACUGACGCUGAGGUGCGAAAGCGUGGGGAGCAACAGG